GACGUAGGGCGCGAGCGUUGUCCGGAUUUAUUGGGCGUAAAGAGCUCGUAGGUGGUUUGGUAAGUCGGAUGUGAAAUCUCCAGGCUCAACCUGGAGGGGUCAUUCGAUACUGCCAUGACUAGAGGUCGGUAGGGGAGUGUGGAAUUCCUGGUGGAGCGGUGAAAUGCGCAGAUAUCAGGAGGAACACCCGUAGCGAAGGCGGCACUCUGGGCCGAUUCUGACACUGAGGAGCGAAAGCGUGGGGAGCGAACAGG
rnacentral:rRNA from 1 species